GUUGGAAUCAAAACCUUUGAAUUGUGC
rnacentral:sRNA from 1 species